CCAAGAAGAAGGUUCCAUUGGAACUGUGGGUUGUAAAGAUUAAACAGAGGGCCGAUCGAAAGGGAGUCGAGUUCAGAUCCCCGAAUCCAGAGUGGUGGAGAUGGUCGCCAUGAGGCGUCCAGUGCGGUAACGCGACCGAUCCUGGAGAAGCCAGUGGGAGCCCCGGUCAGAGUUCUCUUUUCUUUGUGAAGGGCAGGGUGCCCUGGAAUGGGUUUGCCCUGAGAUAGGGGCCCGUGCCUUGGAAAGCAUCGCGGUUCCAGCGGCGUCCGGUGAGCUCUCGCUGGCCCUUGAAAAUCCAGGGUAGAGGGUUGAGGCGUUAAGGAGGCAUUAUGGACUCUCCUACGAGUUGCUGUCUGAGCUGUUGGUUCUCCUGGA
rnacentral:ncRNA from 1 species